rnacentral:lncRNA from 1 species
GUCGAACUCGUCGAGGCGCCAGGAGCCCCUGCGGGCUCCCUUGCGGCGGUACUCGGACGACGAAGCGGAGGCGGCGCAGGCGAGCUCCGGAACACCGUGUCGCGGUUCUCCCGCGCCGUCUCGCACUCCGGGUGCCUCAGGCAGGCCUGCGGACAGCGGGACACAUGGUCACCCCUCUCUGCGCCAGAUCGCCCGCAAUGGCCGGGCAGCGCACGCGAUCGCGUCGCGGGGAAGGCAGAGACCAGCGAUCUGGCUCUCGUCGUCCGGCUAGACGAACUCCCUUGUUGGGUUUGGCCUUCGCUGCACGAAGCAGCAACAAGCUUUUUGCUACGGUCCGUUCACGUUUUGCCACUACACGUGCACAGGUGGCACGUGCUGGCGCCGCCCCGCACCUGCUUGUACACUGUUGGAAAAAUAAGGCCGUCAUAAAUGUUUCUCAUGCAUC